rnacentral:rRNA from 1 species
CCUACGGUGGGCAGCAGUGGGGAAUAUUGCACAAUGGGGGGAACCCUGAUGCAGCGACGCCGCGUGGGUGAAGGAGUACUUCGGUACGUAAAGCCCUAUCAGCAGGAAAGAAAAUGACGGUACCUGACUAAGAAGCCCCGGCUAACUACGUGCCAGCAGCCGCGGUAAUACGUAGGGGGCACGCGUUAUCCGGAUUUACUGGGUGUAAAGGGAGCGUAGACGGCAGUGCAAGUCCGGAGUGAAAGCCCGGGGCUCAACGCUGGGACUGCUAUGGAAACUGGAAAGCUGGAGUGCGGGAGGGGCAGGCGGAAGUCCUGGUGUAGCGGUGAAAUGCGUAGAUAUCAGGAGGAACUCCGAUUGCGAAGGCAGCUCACUGGACUGCAACUGACACUGAGGCUCGAAAGUGUGGGUAUCAAACAGGAUUAGAUACCCCAGUAGUC